UAUAAAGCCGUCCAUCUUUUCCUCUAAGGCUUCUGAUACAGCUGUUCCCAUCAGUGAAGGGGACCAUUCAGUGACAGGGGCUCCUUAACCUUGAUCUCCAGAGUAGAGGUGCCCCUGCUCAGAUCUCCUGGCAAUCGCACCGGAACCCAGUUUGGCCCGUUCCGACAGCUUUCCUUCUUUCAGAAGAGGAAUUCCCCUCCAUGCUCCCACUUUCAGGCGAUGAAACCUGUUGUUGAAGGAAGAAACAA